ensembl:misc_RNA 7SK 7SK RNA
AGACAGUCAUCUGGCUGUGACAUCUGUCAUCCCAUUGAUCGCCAGGGUUGAUUUGGCUGAUAUGGCAGCUAAAAGGCGACCCCUUCCUCCAUCACCGCUCCAUGUGCGCCCCUCCAAAAGCUGAGCGCUGGUCGAAGAGGACAACCUUCCCCGAAUAGAGGACGAUCGGUCUUUGAUCAAGGGUAUACGAGUAGCUGCGCUCCCCUGCUAGAACCUCCAAACAAGUUCUCAAGGUCAAAUUGUAUUCAUUUUUAAUAUUACAAUGUAUAAAGGCAUUUUGUAGAGUGGCAAAGCUCUUAAAAAUCUUACUCAUUUUAUUAUAUUUACUAUUAUAGUAACAAAGUAUUCUA